UAGUUGGUAAGGUAACGGCUUACCAAGGCGACGAUCAGUAGCCGACCUGAGAGGGGGAUCGGCCACAUUGGAACUGAGACACGGUCCAAACUCCUACGGGAGGCAGCAGUGGGGAAUAUUGCACAAUGGGCGAAAGCCGGAUGCAGCAACGCCGCGUGAGUGAUGAAGGCCUUCGGGUCGUAAAACUCUGUCCUCAAGGAAGAUAAUGACGGUACUGGAGGAGGAAGCCCCGGCUAACUACGUGCCAGCAGCCGCGGG
rnacentral:rRNA from 1 species